rnacentral:rRNA from 1 species
UACGUAGGGCGCAAGCGUUAUCCGGAAUUAUUGGGCGUAAAGAGCUCGUAGGCGGUUUGUCGCGUCUGCCGUGAAAGUCCGGGGCUCAACUCCGGAUCUGCGGUGGGUACGGGCAGACUAGAGUGAUGUAGGGGAGACUGGAAUUCCUGGUGUAGCGGUGAAAUGCGCAGAUAUCAGGAGGAACACCGGUGGCGAAGGCGGGUCUCUGGGCCGAUACUGACGCUGGAGGUGCGAAAGCGUGGGGAGCGAUCCGG